UGAAAACUAAGUUUUACAGACAGCUAGGUGGUGCACUGCGUAGAGCCCAGGACUUGGAGUCCCCUAAUUCUUCCAUGGUUUUUAUGCUAUUUAAUAUUGCCACGUCUAUUCCAUGGGAGGUUCGGGAAGUAAUACUGCAGAGAUUGAAGUAAUGCAAAAUCUUCGUUGGAUUUUGGGGCAUUGUCCGAUACAAGGAUACAAAAACCGACA